AUUGAACGCUGGCGGCAUGCUUUACACAUGCAAGUCGAACGGUAACAGGCCGCAAGGUGCUGACGAGUGGCGAACGGGUGCGUAAUGCAUCGGAACGUGCCCAGUCGUGGGGGAUAACUACUCUAAAGAGUAGCUAAUACCGCAUACGAUCUAUGGAUGAAAGCGGGGGACCGUAAGGCCUCGCGCGAUUGGAGCGGCCGAUGUCAGAUUAGGUAGUUGGUGGGGUAAAGGCUCACCAAGCCAACGAUCUGUAGCUGGUCUGAGAGGACGACCAGCCACACUGGGACUGAGACACGGCCCAGACUCCUACGGGAGGCAGCAGUGGGGAAUUUUGGACAAUGGGCGCAAGCCUGAUCCAGCAAUACCGCGUGCAGGAAGAAGGCCUUCGGGUUGUAAACUGCUUUUGUACGGAACGAAACGGCUCUGGUUAAUACCCGGGGCUAAUGACGGUACCGUAAGAAUAAGCACCGGCUAACUACGUG
rnacentral:rRNA from 1 species